rnacentral:tRNA from 1 species
CUAGAAAUAUUUUAAUAAAAAUGUGGGUUUUGGGGAUCUUCGAUUCUCUUUGUCUUGUGGAGGUUUUUAGU